GCGGCACCCACAUUGGGAAGCAAAAGCUGUCGCAGGCUGCCUUGCCCAUGACAGCGUGUCUAAAAAUACAUCCACCGAGAUGCAGGCAUAUGCUCGCGCCUCGGUGUGAAGGAGCUCUCGCCUGUGUUUCUUGCUAUCCCCAUCUAAAUGCUGGAGCGAGGAGUUAAAUUAUUCCAGAAGGCCCGCCAGGGUCUGAUUUGCCACUGUCUGCUUCCUCGUUGCCUUUGAAUGGGACCCUUGAUCCAAGGCUUUCAGAGACCAGCCGGUGCUGAUGGGGGUCCGUGACUUGGCGGUGGCGCCUGUUUGCUCCUUCUCUGUCUCGAGCAUGGUUUUCUAUCCUGCCGGGGAGGGCGAGAGCGCUGGGCAGAGGUGGCACCUGACCCGCUAGAACUCCGAUGUCACUGCUGUGGCUGUUACUCCCCUCGGCAAGAGUCAAGGCGCACGCAGGACGUGAAUCCUGCAAUGGACUGACCUCAUCUUCCCGAGGCUGUGAUGUUUCAGGAGAGUUUCACUAUUGCUGACCAACUGAGACCACCAGGAGCUCCUAAGUGCAAAGAGUAAGUGUUUUCUCCAACAAGAUAAUGUUUCCA
rnacentral:lncRNA from 1 species